AAUUUGGUUCUUUUGUCUGACAUUCAUGGUUUUAGGGAUUGAAUUUUAUUUUGGUAUAUCGGUAAUGUUUCGAGGAUUGUGGUGUAUGGUUUGUGUUUCCUUUCUUGAUCAAGAUUUUUCAGUGUUUUCGGAAUUAUAUGGGUAUCGAUAGAUUGUGGUGUAUGGCCUGUGUUUCCCUUCUUGAUCAAGUUUUUUCAGGGUUUUCGAAAUUAUAUGGGUAUCGAUAGAUGAACGCGAUUGUUAUCAGUCCUUCUGUCGGAUUGAAGAACACAUGCUUAAUUUCUUUACAUUCUUUACACCUUUUCUUAUGGUCGCCCGGUUCUCUGCACAUGGAUGAUAUGAAAAGCAACAUGAAAAGCAUAGUAGUUCAGAACGGCCAAGGGUUCAGCAUAACCUAAGUCUUCUUUGUGUCUCCUUUCUAUUAUAUAUUGAUUUUUGGUAUUGAUCACCAUACAUGGGGAUUGAACUAUGAUCUCUUUUCUGCAGUGGUGUUUGGAAAUAGUUUUGUAACGUCCUGAUUUAAGACUCUGCCUAUUUCUUCAAUUUUUGGGCCACGGAAAACACGCUAUGGAUGUGUUGUGUAGGAUAUCAAGUAAUAGGUUUUGUUAUCGUGACGAUCUGGUGACGAUCUGAUUUCGGAACCUAUGAAAUUUGGUGUUUGUGGUCAUUCCUUUGCAGCACUUCUUUCGGCUGUUUGUCGAUGAAUGUUCUUUCUCAUUUAUUUUUUAUCGACUCGAUCAUCGAACACAAGGAUUGAAUUGUGAUUUGUUCCUCAGCUGCAAACAUAAGGACUGCCAAUUGUAUUUAGGUUUUCUUAUCCACACAUUUUUUAUUUAUCUGUUACUAGUUAUCUGAUGACUUAUUUAUUCAAUUUGAAUUUAGUUAUUUAUUUGAUGACAGAGAUCUAUCGUAUCUAGCUUUUGAUCCGAUCUUGAUCUGUGAUUUUGUUUCCUUUUCAGCACAUUGACAGUUGAGGAUUAAACAAUAAUAAUAUAAUCAGGGUAAUAUAAUUUCCUGGAUGAGUUUCAUUUGUAUUAUUUAAUUUAUUUGAUCCGGAACUUCAAGUAUAAGAAUUCAAUCGUGAUUGGUUUCUCUGUAGCAAUGUUUGGAGGAUUUGUUUCGGGUACAUUUGUCCCUUGGAGCAUAUAUUAGGAGUGAAGAUAUUUCCCUUUGAUUUGAAACAUUGUACAUUUAGCAUAUUUUACGGGACUGAGAUGUGAGGUAGGAUGUGGAAAUACCUUCCUGGGGAUUUUUCAAGCUUUAGGUUUUGUUACCUUUACAUUUCUUAUGUCUUUAUUUGUGAUUAGCUAAACUUGUUUGGAUUCUGAGUUCUGGUUGGAUUCGUUGCUGACCUUGUAGUGUGGCUGGCAGUUCUUGUGGGCGUUUGUAACAUGCACUAUCAGACUAUUGGAGACGGGGAUGAUUAAAUGGAAAUUUCUCUUAAAUAAUUUCUUUCAGCUUUUGGGUCGUUUCUUAGUGAUUUGAGUUUAUUACUACGAAUAUGAGGAUAAGAGGAUAAAAUGUCUUGACCGUUAGAGUUUGUGUUUCUUGUCUUGUUCAGCCAUGUCGUACUCGAAGCCAGUGAGGAAUUGCUUUUUUCUCUAUUGCCUCGUAUACAUCUCUUUUCCACUUUCUUUACUUUCUUUUUGACACUUGUACAUUCCUAAGUAAUUUGGGUUUCUCAUAGCUUUUAUGAGUUCUGGAUUUAUCACCGUUACAAGAUGCAAUUGAAAUUAUUUAAAGGAGAGAAAUAAGUAUUUUUUAGUUUUAUAGUACUUUAUAUUAUGUAAUUGAAAUCAUUUAAACGAGAUACUUAAGUUUUUUUUUUUGGUUUUAUAAUACUGAAUUACUUUUUUUAUUUUCUUAGGUGUAGAAAAUUUGAAAAGUUGUUUUCUUAGUUCUGACUUCAUUUUCCUAUUUGUUGAGAGUAUUAGAGAAUUUUCUUAUAACUCCCCUGAUUGCUGUGGCUGCGGGCGGCUCAUCCAUUCUUCUUAAGAGAGGUUACCUUAGUAGUGACGCCAUGCUUCUUGUUGGUUGAGCUUUUACGUGAAGGCAAUAGUUAUGUGGAGAAAGAGACCGAGAUAGAGAUCCGGUGAAACCUUAGUUUUUAUUUUUUUAUCGUUGCAUUUAUUAUUAGUUUUUCUUUAUCGUUGCAUUUGUUAUUUUCUUUGCCGUUAUUCUCCUGGCUAAAACUUGUGGAGUUGAACAUUUUGUGAAUAGGUGCUAUAUGAGUGAGAGGCUUUGGCACUUGCGUUGCUGGACUGUUGACUCUGCUAAUUUUGAUUGUGUUCUUCUAGUCUUUUUGCAGCGAAAAGGAUGUCUAUUGGUCGUGGAGGCAAUAUCAUUAGUUUAUAGAACUUACUAUAAAGCUUUAUAUUUUAUUAAGUUUCCAUUUACUGUUUUUCUUAUGUGCUUCAGUUGGAAUCACUGUAGUCUUUUAAUGGUUGUAGGUUUUACGUGUGUCGCCAUUGUCUUUCUCUAAGCAAGAGCAAUACUUGAUCGCUGAAAGUAUCAUCUUGUCGUCUAGGUUCUUCAUCUUCUACCCAUAUUAAUUAUAGUUUCCUUGAAUUCAUGGGCUUUACACGGAACCUUAGAAAUGAAGUACGUGCAAAUGGUGGGUGGUGGGCAGGUUUGGGAAGGAUCCAGAGAAACCUUGGAUUUUAUUAUCUUGGCAUUCAUAUUUUUCUUUGCCAUUAUUUUUUAAGCUAAACAUGUGUAGUGGGAGAUCCUCUAAAUAGGCGAUGUAGGAGUGAGAGGCUUUGACAUUUGUGUUGUUGGACCAUUGACUCUGUUGAUGUUGAAGCAAUGGAUCCGGUGAAACCUUGGAUUUUAUUAUCUUUGCAUUCAUAUUUUUCAUAGCAAGCUAAACUUGUGGAGUGGGAGAUCUUCUAAAUAGGCAUCGUAGGAGUGAGAGGCUGACAUUUGUGUUGUUGGACGUUGACUCUGUUGAUUUACAGUGAAGAUGUCUAUUGGAUAGUAGAGCCAAUAACUGUAUAUUAUUUAACUUACGAACAAGCUUUAUGUUUUAUUACGUUUCCAUUUGCUUUAUGUGCUUGAGUUGGAAUUGUUGUUGUCUCUCUUAUUGGUUUUAGGAAGGUACAUGUGUCAGCCAUUCUCUUUGUCUAAGCAAGAGCCUCUCAUGGAAAUUUCUCCAUUGGUUUUUAAUUAUUGUAUUUGUUUAUUCAUCUUAUCAUCUAGGUCCUUCAUCUUCUAACCCUGAUUGAUUGUAGUUUUCUUGAAUUUAUGGGCUUUAUAGGGAAACUAAGAAAUGAGGUUGGUGCAGGGUGUGCAAAUGGUGAGUGGUUGACAGGUUCAGUAACAGUGGAUGGGGAUGGAGUUCCGAUGAAACCCUUUGUUUUAUUGUAUUUGCAUUCAUUAUUUUCAUUGCCGUUUUUUUUCAAACUAAACUUGUGGAAUGGGAGAUGUUGAAAGUAGGCACUCUAUGAGUGAGAGGUAUUGACAUUUGGGUUGUUAGACCUUUGACUGUGGAUUUUGAUUAUCUUCUCUUGCUCCUCUUGCUGUGAAGAGGAUGUCUUUUGGUGCUGUUGAUUUUGAUUAUCUUCUCUUAUUCCUCUUGCAGUGAAGAGGACGUCUAUUGGAUCAUGGAUGGCAGUAUUUGUAGAUUAUCUAACUUAUUACAUUUAUGUUUUAUUACGUUCUCAUCUACUAUUUUUCUUGUCUAUUUGAGUGGCUUUAGUCUCUCUUAUUGGUUGUAGGAAGGUACAUGUUUUGGCCAUGGUGUUUCUUUAAACAAGAGCAAUACUUCAUCACUGGACAUUAUGGUCAACGAUUCUGAUUUGGAAAUUUUCCCAUGGUUUUUGAAUUCUUCAAUUUGUUUAUCAUCUUAUUAUCUUCGUCCUUCAUCUUCUACCCAAAUUGAUUAUUGUUUUCUUGAAUUGAUGGGCUUUACAAGGAAACUAAGAAAUGCAAUGUGUGCAGGGUGUGCAAAUGGUGGGUGGUGGGCUGGAUUUGGUAACGGUGGAUGGAAAUCUGGUGAACCCUAGGUUUUAUUAUUUUUGAAUUCAUUAUGUUCAUUGCCGUUAUUCUUUAAACUAAACUUGUGGAGUGGAAGAUCUUAAAAGUAGAUACUUUAUCCGUGACAUGCUUUGACAGUUGUUUGUUGGACAGUUGGCUGUUGAUUUUGAUUAGUCUUCUUCUACUCAUGUUAUAGUUAAGAGGAUGUCUUUUGGAUCGUGGCUGCAGUAGGUGUAGGUUAUUUAACUUACUACAGAGCUUUAUGUUUUCUGUCAUUCUCAUGUACUAUUUUUCUUGUCUCUUCAAGAUGGAUUGGCUCUAGUCUCUCUUGUUGGUUGUAAGGAGGUACAUGUUUCAGCCAUGGUGUUUGUCUAUGCAAGAGCAAUAAUUGAUUGCUGGAACAUUAUGAUGAUCGAUCUUGUUUGGAAAUAUUUCCAUUGGUUUUUUAAUUAUUGUAUUUGUUUAUUUAUCUUAUCAUCUAGGUCCUUCAUCUUUUAUCCAGAUUAAUUAUAGUUAAUCGAUGGGCUUUACAAGAAAACUAAGAAAUGAAGUGGGUGCAGGGUAUGCAAAUGGUGGGUGGUGGGCAAUUUUGGAAACAUAGGAUGGUAACAAUGGAUGGAGCUACGGUGAAACCUUUUGCUUUAUUAUCUUUGCAUUCAUUAUUUUCAUUACCGUUAUUUUUCAAAAUAAACUUGUGGAAUUCUAUAAGUGAGAGGCUUUGACAUUUGGGUUGUUGGAUAGUUGAUUCUGUUUAUUUUGAUUAUCUUCUUCUACUCCAGUGAAGGGGAUGUGUAACGGAUCGUGCAUGCAGUAGGUGUAGAUUAUUUAACUUACUGCAAAGCUUUAUGUUUUAUUACAUUCUCAUUUACUAUUUUUCUAGUAUGCUAAAGUGGGUUUUGUCUCUCUUAUUGGUUGUGGGAAGGUACAUGUUCACUGGACAAUUAUGGUCACAGAAUCUGCUAUGGAAAUUUCUCCAUUUGCUUUUUAAUUCCUGAAUUUGUUUAUUCAUUCAUCUUAUCGUCUAGGUCCUUCAUCUUCUACCUUAAUUAUUGUUUUAUUGAAUACAUGGGCUUUACAUGAAAACGUAUUGGUUGUAGGAAGGUACAUGUGUCAGCCUUGGUGUUUGUUUGAGCGUGAGCAAUACUUGAUCGCUGAACCUUAUGAUGAUCGAGCCUACUAUGGAAGUUUCUCAAUUACUAUUUUGGUUCCUGAAUUUUUUUAAUCAUCUUUUGGGCUUGGGUCUUUCAUCUUCUACCCAAAUUUCUUGAAUGGUGUGCAAAUGGUGGGUGGUGGGCAGGUUUGGUAACGUGGAUGCAAAUCUGGUGAACCUUAGGUUUUAUUAUUUUUGAAUUCAUUAUGUUCAUUGCGGUUAUUCUUCAAACUAAAUGUGUGGAGUGGGAGAUCAAAAAGUAGAUACUUUAUGAGUGACAAGGUUUGACAUUUGUGUUGUUGGACAGUUGGCUGUUGAUUUUGAUUAACUUCUACUCAUGUUGCAGUUUAGAGGAUAUUGGAUCGAUGCAGUUUGUUUUACUACGUUCUCAUAUACUAUUUUUCUUGUCUGUUCAAGUUGGAUUGGCUUUAGUCUCUCUUGUUGGUUGUAGGGAGGUACAUGUUUCGGCCAUGGUGUUUGUCUAUGCAAGGACAAUAAUUGAUCGCAGCAUCAUUAUGGUGAUGAUCUAGGUCGAAUGAGCCUUACAAGAAAACUAAGAAUUCAAGUGGGUGCAAGGUGUAAAAAUGGUGGGUGGUGGGCAACUUUGGAAACAGUGGAUGGUAACAAUGGAUGGAGUUCCGGUGAAACCCUUUGUUUUAUUAUCUCUGCGUUCACUAUUUUCCUUGCCCUUAUUUUUCAAACUAAACUUAUGGAAUGGUGUUGGGUUGUUGGACAGUUGACUAUUGAUUUUGAUUAUCUUCUUCUAAUCCUCUUGCAAUGAAGAUGUCUAUUGGAUCGUGCAUGCAGUAGGUGUAGAUUAUUUAACUUACUGCAAAACUUUUUGUUUUAUUAUAUUCUCAUCUACUACUUUUCUUGUGUUCUCAACUUGCUUUAGUCUCUCUUAUAGGUUGUAGGAAGGUAUAUUCACUGGACAAUUAUGGUCAGAGAAUCUGUUAUGGAAAUUUCUCCAUUGGUUUUUUAAUUCCUGAAUUUGUUUAUUCAUGUUAUCAUCUAGGUCCUUCAUCUUUUACCCCAAUAAAUUAUUGUUUUAUUGAAUACAUGGGCUUUACAUGAAAGCGUACACGUGUCAGCCAAGGUGUUUGUCUAAGCUUGAGCAAUACUUGAUCGCUGAACCUUAUGAUGAUCGACCCUACUAUGGAAUUUUCUCAAUUAGUGUUUUAGUUCCUGAAUUUGUUUAUUCAUCUUAUAGUUUGGGUCUUUCAUCUUCUACCCAAAUUUCUUGAAUGGAUUGGGUCUUGGUCCUUCAUCUUCUACCAAAUUUGAUUAUUGUUUUCAUGAAUUGAUGGACUAUACACGGAAACUAAGAAAUGAAAUGUGUGCAGGAUGUGCGAUUGGUGGGUCAGGUUUCGGUAACGAUGGAUGCAAAUAUGGUGAACCUUAGGUUUUAUUAUUUUCGAAUUCAUUAUUGUGGUUAUCCUUCAAACUAAACUUGUGGAGGAGGAGAUCUUAAAAGUAGAUACUUUAUGAGUGACAGGUUUUGGCAUUUGUGGUAUUGGACCGUUGGGUGUUGGUUUUGGUUAUCUUCUUCUACUCAUGUUGCAGCUAAGAGGAUAGUGGAUCGAUGCAGGUGUGCAAAUGUUGGGUGGUGGGCAACUUCGGAAACAGUGGAUUGUAACAAUGGAUGGAGUUCCGGUGAAACCCUUUGUUUUAUUAUCUCUGGUUACAUUAUUUUCCUUGCCCUUAUUUUUCAAACUAAACUUGUGGAAUGGGUGUUGGGUUGUUGGACAGUUGACUCUGUUGAUUUUGAUUAUCUUCUUCUACUCAUGCAGUGAAGAUGUCUAUUGAAUCGUGCAUGUGGUAGGUGUAGAUUAUUUAACUUACCGCAAAACUUUGUUUUAUUAUAUUCUCAUCUACUAUUUUUCUUAUCUGCUCAGGUGGCUUUUGUCUCUCUUAUUUGUUGUAGGAAGGUACAUGUUCAAUGAACAAUUAUGGUCAGAGAAUUUGUUAUGGAAAUUUCUCCAUUGGUUUUUUAAUUCCUGAAUUUGUUUAUUCAUGUUAUCAUCUAGGUCCUUCAUCUUUUACCCCAAUAAAUUAUUGUUUUAUUGAAUACAUGGGCUUUACAUGAAAGCGUAUUGGUUGUAGGAAGGUACAUGUGUCAGCCAAGGUGUUUGUCUAAGCUUGAGCAAUACUUGAUCGCCUAACCUUAUAAUGAUCGACCCUACUAUGGAAUUUUCUCAAUUAGUGUUUUAGUUCUUGAAUUUGUUUAUUCAUCUUAUGGUUUGGGUCUUUCAUCUUCUACCCAAAUUUCUUGAAUGGAUGGGGUCUUGGUCCUUCAUCUUCUACCAAAUUUGAUUAUUGUUUUCCUGAAUUGAUGGGCUCUACACGGAAACUAAGAAAUGAAAUGUGUGCAGGAUGUGCGAUUGGUGGAUGGUGGGCAGGUUUCGGUAACAAUGGAUGGAAAUAUGGUGAACCUUAGGUUUUAUUAUUAUUGCGGUUAUCCUUCAAACUAAACUUGUGGAGGAGGAGAUCUUAAAAGUAGAUACUUUAUGAGUGACAGGUUUUGGCAUUUGUUGUAUUGGACCGUUGGGUGUUGGUUUUGGUUAUCUUCUUCUACUCAUGUUGCAGUUAAGAGGAUAGUGGAUCGAUGCAGUAUGUUUUAUUAUGUUCUCAUAUACUAUUUUUCUUGUCUGUUCAAGGUUGAUUGGCUUUAGUCUCUCUUGUUGGUUGUAGGGAUAUACAUAUUUCGGCCAUUGUGUUUGUCUAUGCAAAGAGCAAUAAUUGAUCAUUAUGAUGGGAUCAUUAUGAUGAUCGAGCUUGUUUUGGAAAUUUCUCGAUUGCUUUUUGUAUUUUAUUAUUUACUUAUGAUCUAGGUAGAUUAAUUAUAGUUAAUCGAUGGGCUUACAAGAAAAUUAAGAAUUGAAGUGGGUGCAGGGUGUGCAAAUGGUGGGUGGGGGGCAACUUCGGAAACAGUGGAUUGUAACAAUGGAUGGAGUUCCGGUGAAACCCUUUGUUUUAUUAUCUCUGGUUACAUUAUUUUCCUUGCCCUUAUUUUUCAAACUAAACUUGUGGAAUGAGUGUUGGGUUGUUGGACAGUUGACUCUGUUGAUUUUGAUUAUCUUCUUCUACUCCUCAUGCAGUGAAGAUGUCUAUUGAAUCGUGCAUGUGGUAGGUGUAGAUUAUUUAACUUACCGCAAAACUUUGUUUUAUUAUAUUAUCAUCUACUAUUUUUCUUAUCUGCUGAAGUGGCUUUAGUCUCUCUUAUUGGUUAUAGGAAGGUACAUGUUCAAUGAACAAUUAUGGUCAGAGAAUCUGUUAUGGAAAUUUCUCCAUUGGUUUUUUAAUUCCUGAAUUUGUUUAUUCAUCUUAUCAUCUAGGUCCUUCAUCUUUUACCCCAAUAAAUUAUUGUUUUAUUGAAUACAUGGGCUUUACAUGAAAGCGUAUUGGUUGUAGGAAGGUACAUGUGUCAGCCAAGGUGUUUGUCUAAGCUUGAGCAAUACUUGAUCGCUGAACCUUAUGAUGAUCGACCCUACUAAGGAAUUUUCUCAAUUAGUGUUUUAGUUCCUGAAUUUGUUUAUUCAUCUUAUGGUUUGGGUCUUUCAUCUUCUACCCAAAUUUUUUGAAUGGAUGGGGUCUUGGUCCUUCAUCUUCUACCAAAUUUGACUAUUGUUUUCCUGAAUUGAUGGGCUCUACACGGAAACUAAGAAAUGAAAUGUGUGCAGGAUGUGCGAUUGGUGGAUGGUGGGCAGGUUUCGGUAACGAUGGAUGGAAAUAUGGUGAACCUUAGGUUUUAUUAUUUUUGAAUUCAAUAUUGCGGUUAUCCUUCAAACUAAACUUGUGGAGGAGGAGAUCUUAAAAGUAGAGACUUUAUGAGUGACAGGUUUUGGCAUUUGUGGUAUUGGACCGUUGGGUGUUGGUUUUGGUUAUCUUCUUCUACUCAUGUUGCAGUUAAGAGGAUAGUGGAUCGAUGCAGUAUGUUUUAUUAUGUUCUCAUAUACUAUUUUUCUUGUCUGUUCAAGGUUGUUGGCUUUAGUCUCUCUUGUUGGUUGUAGGGAUAUACAUGUUUUGGCCAUUGUGUUUGUCUAUGCAAAGAGCAAUAAUUGAUCGCUGGAUCAUUAUGAUGGGAUCAUUAUGAUGAUCGAGCUUGUUUUGGAAAUUUCUUGAUUGCUUUUUGUAUUUUAUUAUUUACUAAUGAUCUAGGUAGAUUAAUUAUAGUUAAUCGAUGGGCCUUACAAGAAAACUAAGAAUUGAAGUGGGUGCAGGGUGUGCAAUUGGUGGGUGGCGGGCAACUUCGGAAACAGUGGAUUGUAACAAUGGAUGGAGUUCCGGUGAAACCCUUUGUUUUAUUAUCUCUGGUUACAUUAUUUUCCUUGCCCUUAUUUUUCAAACUAAACUUGUGGAAUGGGUGUUGGGUUGUUGGACAGUUGACUCUGUUGAUUUUGAUUAUCUUCUUCUAGUCCUCAUGCAGUGAAGAUGACUAUUGAAUCGUGCAUGUGGUAGGUGUAGAUUAUUUAACUUACCGCAAAACUUUGUUUUUAUUAUAUUCUCAUCUACUAUUUUUCUUAUCUGCUCAAGUGGCUUUAGUCUCUCUUAUUGGUUGUAGGAAGGUACAUGUUCACUGGACAAUUAUGGUCAGAGAAUCUGUUAUGGAAAUUUCUCCAUUGGUUUUUUAAUUCCUGAAUUUGUUUAUUCAUCUUAUCAUCUAAGUCCCUCAUAUUUUACCCAAAUUAAUUAUAAUAGUUUUAUUGAAUACAUGGGCUUUACAUGAAAAAGUAUUGUUUGUAGGAAGGUACAUGUGUCAGCCAUGGUGUUUGUCUAAGCUUGAGCAAUACUUAAUCGCCUAACCUUAUAAUGAUCGAGCCUACUAUGGAAUUUUCUCAAUUAGCAAUUCGGUUCCUGAAUUUGUUUAUUGAUCUUAUGGAACUUACUAUGGAUGUCUGUUGGGUGGGUCUUGGAGGCAAUGGUGGUAGAUUUAUGUUUGGAAUGGCUGUAGUCUCUCUCAUUGGUUGAAUGGUAGGAAGGUACAUGAUUGUGUAUUUGAAAUGGUUGUACUCAUAUUUUUUUGCGUUUCCAUUCACUGUAGUACGGUACUUUACUGAACAUUAUGAUCAUCGAGCCUUAUGGUAAUUUCUCCAUUGUUUUUUAAAUCUUGAAUUUAUGAAUUCAUCUUAGGGUUUAGAUCCUUCAUCUUCUACCCAAUUGAUUAUAUAUAUAUAUAUAUUUUUUUUUUUAUUUUUUUUAAAUUCAUGUGCUUUACACAUAAGCCAAGCAAUGAAGUGUGGUGUAGAUGUGCAAAUGAUGCAUGGAGAUUCUGUGAUUUGUGAAGCUAAAGGUUUUAUUUACUGUUGCAUUCUUCUGACUUAAUUUUUAAUUGGCUAAACUUGGUUUGAUUUUGAUUUUUUUUAUUGAUGGUGGUGUGCCUGCAGAGAGGGAGUUUGUAACAGUCACUACAGGUGUAUCGGUUACAUUUUUAUGUGUUCUGGCCUUAUGAAAGGCUUUGUGAGAUGAACAUGGUUGGUUCACAAGUGCUGUUGGGCUUACUCUUUGAUUUGAUGGUUUGCUUAUUGGUUUUCCAAAACCCUUCAAUUCAUUGUUUUUUAUAUUUGUUCGAUUUGGAUAGGAAUAUGUAUUUUUAAGCAAGAUAAUACUGGAGUAUGUUCGUUGUGCUGAUAUAUGCUUGUUAUAGACUAGCUAUCUUUUUCCCUCUAUUCUUGAUUGUUGUUUUGACUACUUAGGUCAGAGUCUUUGGAGGUAUUUUGGAUUAGGAUAUGUCCAAGUAUGAACAGUCUAUUUCCAAUUUUGAAAUGUGGGAUGUGAUUGUCAGAUAUUUUCUAGGAAUAUGGAUGUAUUUUUAAUUCAGUUUUAUUCUUGUAUUGAAUUAGAUAUUUGUUAAUAUGGUCCUUUAAUUCUAAUAUAAUUAUUAUAAUUGAUUAUUGCUUUAGUAGUUAUUCCUGUUUGAAAUUCAUAGUUAUUUAAAAAAAAAUGUUGUAUUUUCAUUUCUACAUUUUGUUCUUUUUUAUGGACUCUGAUCAGUAAAUUGAGAUUAUUUUUUCUUGUGAUUUGGAUUAUGUGAAUCUUUACUCUAAUAGCAAAAUAAAUAUUUACUCGUUAGAAUGUAUUAUGUGAAUGUGAAUGAUUUAUUUUAAUGUAAAUAUUUACUCUUAUCAGAAUGUAUUAUGUGAAUGUGAAUGAUUUAUUUUAAUGUUAUUUAAAAUAUUUUUUAUAGUAAAUCAGUAAAAUGUGAUUUUUCUUUUUUUGGUGUGAUUUGUAGUAGAAACAGGUAUGUUUUUUCAUUCUUACUGGAAUUCUUUUCUGUUUUCUAAUUUCAAUCAAAGGAUAUGGAUUCCUAAAUUUUUUCGUGGGAAUUUUUUUAAACUUCUUCCUUUACUAAACCAGACAAUUUAUUCCCUAAAGUUUUGUAAAUAUUUUUUUAAAGAUAUCUAUUAGUGAGAAAAUUUUUAAACCAUUUUAUGCAUGUACUUUAUUAGAUAUAUAGUCCUAAAUUGUCCUGUUUACAUUUCAGAUUAGAGAAAUGAAAACAAGUACCCUUGUUAUAUAUUAUAAAAAUAUUGCAUGAUUUGUCAAAACUACAUUUAAAUUCAAAAACAAAAUUGAAUUCAUACUCUUGUUUUAUUUUCUUAUAUUGCCUUAAUAUUAUGAAAUAGAAAAGUAAUUGUAAAAGCAUCACUACAUCUUUAAUUAUAGAUAGGUAGUCUGCUCUAUCUGAGGUAGCUCUUAGCAAUAGCUCCUUAUUGAAUAUUUUCUUAGCAAUUGCUCUUAGUAUUGUUUUAUCUUUCUUUUGACUUUUACUACUGCAAACACUAACAAUAUCUAGUUAUAUGUUGUUUUCUUUUAAUAAAUAAUCUUCAUUACUAUCUAUAAGAUUUAAUUUGAUAUAAGUCUAAUAUGGCUUGACCCAAAUGAAUCUUAUUGGUUGUAGGAAGGUACAUGUAUCUACCAUGGUGUUUCUCUAAGCAUGAGCAAUACUUGAUCGCUGAACAUUAUGAUGAUCGAGCCUGCUAUGGAAGUUUCUCAAUUAGUUUUUUGGUUCCUGAAUUUGUUGACUCAUCUUAUGGUGUUGGUCCAUCUUCUGCCCAAAUCGAUUAUUGUUUUCUUGAAUUGAUGGGCUUUACAGGGAAACUAAGAAUAGAAAUGUGUGCAGGGUGUGCAAAUGGUGGGUUGUGGGCAGGUUUCGGUAACGGUGGAUGGAAAUCUGGUGAACUAUAGGUUCUAUUAUUUUUGAAUUCAUUUGAAUUCAUCAUGUUUCAUUGCCGUUAUUGUCCAAACUAAACUUGUGGAAAUUGUGAUCUUAAAAGUAGGGCUUUACAGGGAAACUAAGAAUAGAAAUGUGUGCAGGGUGUGCAAAUGGUGGGUGGUGGGCAGGUUUCGGUAAGGUACAUGUGUCAGCCAUGGUGUUUGUCUAAGCUUGAGCAAUACAUGAUCGCAGAACCUUAUGAUGAUCGAGCCUACUAUGGAAUUUUCUCAAUUAGCAUAUUGGUUCCUCAAUUUGUUUAUUCAUCUUAUGGUUUUGGGUCUUUCAUCUUCUAUUCAAAUUUCUUGAAUGAAUGGGGUGUUGGUCCUUCAUCAUCUACCCAAUUUGAUUAAUGUUUUCUGAAUUGAUGGGCAAAAGGUGGGUGUGGGCAGGUUUCGGUAACGGUGGAUGGAAAUCUGGUGAAUCUUAGGUUUUUAUUAUUUUUGAAUUCAUUAUAUGUUCAUUGGCGUUAUUCUUCAAACUAAACUUGUGGAGUGAGAUUUUAAAAGUAUACUUUAUGAGUGACUGGGUUUGACAUUUGUGUUUUUGGACCCUUGGCAGUGGAUCAAUGCAGUAUGUUUUAUUACGUUCUCAUAUGCUAUUUUUCUUGUCUGUUCAUGUUGGAUUGGCUUUAGUCUCUCUUGUUGGUUGUAGGGAGGUACAUGUUUCGGCCAUGAUGUUUGUCUAUGCAAGAACAAUAAUUGGUCGCGGGAUCGAAGUUGUUUUCGAAAUUUCUCGAUUGCUUUUUCAAUUGUUGUACUUUAUUAUUUCUUAUGAUCUAGGUCGAUUAAUUAUAGUUAACUGAUGGGCCUUACAAGGAAACUGAGAAUUGAAGUGGGUGCAGGGUGUGCAAAUGGUGGAUGGUAACAAUGGAUGUAGCUCCGGUGAAACCCUUUGUUUUAUUAUCUCUGCGUUCAUUAUUUUCCUUGCCCUUAUUUUUAAAACUAAACGUGUGGAAUGGGUGUUGGGUUGUUGGACAGUUGACUCUGUUGAUUUUUAUUAUCUUCUUCUACUCGUCUUCCAGUGAAGAUGUCUACUGGAUUGUGCAUGAAGUAGGUGUAGAUUAUUUAACUUACUGCAAAACUUUAUGUUUUAUUAUAUUCUCGUAUACUAUUUUUCUUGUCUGCUCAAGUGGCUUUAGUCUCUCAUAUUGGUUGUAGGAAGGUACACAUGCACUGGACACUUAUGGUCAGAGAAUCUGUUAUGGAAAUUUCUCCGUUGGUUUUUCAAUUCCUGAAUUAGUUUUUUUAUCUUAUCAUCUAGGUCCUUCAUUUUUUACCCUGAGUAAUUAUAGUUUUAUUUAAUAGACGGGCUUUACAUGAAAACGUAUUUGUUGUAGGAAGGUACAUGUGUCAGCGGUGGUGUUUGUCUAAGCAUGAGCAACACUUGAUCGCUGAACCUUACCCAAAUUUCUUGAAUUGAUGGGGUCUUCCUUCAUCCUCUACCCAAAUUGAUUAUUGUUUUCUUGAAUUGAUGGGCUAUAUAGGAAAACUAAGAACUGAAAUGUGUGUAGGGUGUGGUGUGCAAAUUGUGGGUGGUGGUCAGGUUUUGGUAAUGGUGGAUGGAAAUCUGGUGGGUUUUAUUAUUUUUUAAUUCAUUAUUUUCAUUGCCGUUAUUCUUCAAACUAAACUUGUGGAGUGAUUGAUCUUGAAAGUCGGCAGUCUAUGAGUGACAGGCUUAUUGGACCAUUGGCUGUUGAUUUUGGUUAAUCCUCUACUCAUAUUUCAGUGAAGAGGAUGUCUAUUGGAUCGUGGAUGCCGUAGGUGUAGGUUAUUUAAUUUCCUACCGAUCUUUACAUGUACUAUUUUUAUUGUGUGCUCGAGUUGGAAUGAUUUUAGUCUCUCUUAUUGGUUGUAGGGACGUACAUGUUUUGCUGGAGUAAUAAUUGAUCGCUGGACAUUAUGUUGAUUGAGCCUGUUUUGGAAAUUUCUCCAUUGCAUUUUUAAUUAUUGUAUUUGUUUAUUUAUCCUAUAUUCCAGGUUCUUCAUCUUCUACUGAGAUUAAUUAUAGUUUUCUUGAACAGAUGGGUUUUAGCUGGAAACUAAGAAAUGGAGUGGGUGCAGGGUGUGGAAAUGGUGGGUGGUUGGCAGGUUUGAUGACAGUGGACGGAGUUCCAGCGUGAAACCCUUUGUUUUAUUAUAUUUGCUUUAAUUUUUUUCAUUGCCGUUAUUGUUCAAACUAAACUUGUGGAGAUGGAGAUGGUUAAAGUAAGUACUCUAUGAGUUAGAGAGGGUUUGCCAUUAGGGUCUAACUUUUGGAGUGGGAGAUCAUGAAAGUAGGCACUCUAUGAGAAGCUUUGACAUUUGGGUUGUUGGACUGUUCACUCUGUUGAUUUUGAUCAUCUUCUCCUACUCUUUUUGCAUUGAAGAGUCAUUUACUAUUUUUUUUGUCGGCCAUGGUUUUUGUUUAAACAGGAGCAGUACUUGAUCACUGGACAUUAUGUUCAACGAGCAUGUUAAGGAAAUUUUGGAUCUCUUUAUUCAUCUUAUUGUCUAGGUCCGUCAUUUUCUACCCAGAUUAAUUAUAGCAAUACUUGGUUGCUGAACAUUAUGAAGAUCGAGCCUAUUGCGGAAGUUUCUCAAUUAGUUUUUUGGUUACUGAAUUUGUUUAUUCAUCUUAUGGUCUUGGUCCUUCAUCUUCUACCCAAAUUGAUUGUUGUUCUCUUGAAUGGAUGGGGUCUUGGUCCUUCAUCUUCUACCCAUAUUGAUUAUUGUUUUCUUGAAUUGAUAUGUAUAUGUAGAAUUGAAAUGUGUGCAGGGUGAGCAAAUGGUGGGUGGAGGGCAAGUUUAGGUAACAGUGGAUGGAGAUAUGUUGAAAACAUUAGGUUUUAUUAUCUUUGAAUUCGUUAUCUUUGAACUCAUCCAUUAGGUUUUAUUAUAUUUGAAAUCGUUAUCUUUGAACUUAUUAUUUUCAUUGACAUUAUUUGUCAUGCUAAACUUACUUGUGGAGUGGGAGAUCUUGUAAAUAGGCACUCUAUGAGUGGGAGGCUUUGACAUUUGUGUUGUGACUUUUUGCUGUUGAUUUUUACAAUGUUCUACUUCAUUGCAGUGAAGAAGAUGUCUAUUGGAUCGUGGAUGCAGUAGGUUUAUAUUAUUUAACUUAUUACAAAGUUAAAUGUUUUAUUACGUUCUCAUUUACUACUUUUUUGUCUCCUCAAGUUGGAAGGGCUUUAGUCUCUUUUAUUUGUUGUAGGAAGGUGCAUGUUUCGACCACGGUGUUCAUGUAUCCAAGAUCAAUACUGCUGAACAUUCUGAUCAUCAAGCCUGUUUUUGAAAUUUCUCCUUUGAAAUUUUAAUUCUGGAAUUUGUGUUGUUAUCUUAUUGAUUAGCUCCUUCAUCUUCUACCCAGAUUAAUUAUACUUUUCUUUGUAUGCAUGGGCUUUAUAGGGAAACUAAAAUGAAGUAGGUGCAGGGUGUGCAAAUGUUUGAGUGGCUGGAAGGUUUGGGAAGCAGUGGAUUGAUAUCUAGGGAAACUUUUGGUUCUAUUAUCUUUGCAAUUAUUUUUCUGGCUAAACAUUUGGAGUGAGAGUUCUUGUAAACAGGCACUAUAUGAGUAUGGGAGGCUUUGGAAUAUGUAUAUUUGUGCCUUUGCCAUUUGUAGUGGAAACUUGCUUGCUAUGGAUGUCUAUUGUGUUGUGGAGGCAAUUUUUUUGAAUGGUUGUAGUCUCUCUCGUUUUAUUAUGUUUCCUUUCACUAUUAUUCUUAUGAGUGUGAGGUUUUGGCACUUGUGUUGCUGGACUGUUGACUGUGCUAAUUUUGAUUGUUUUCUAGUCAUUUUGCAGCGAAAAGGAUGUCUACUGGUCGUGGAGGCAAUAUCUGUAGAUUAUUGAACUUACUAUAAAGCUUUAUAUUUUGUUAAGUUUCCAUUUACUAUUUUUCUUAUGUGCUUCGGUUGGAUUCCCACUGUAGUCUUUUAUUGGUUGUAGGCUUUACAUGUGUCACCAAUGUCUUUGUCUAAUAAGCAAGAGCAAUACUUGAUCACUGAAAUUGAUGAUCAUGCCUGUAAUAGAAAUUUCUCCAUUGGUUUUUUAAAUAUUGAAUAUGUUUAUCAUCUUGUCAUCUAGGUCUUUCAUCUUCUACCCAUAUUAAUUAUAGUUUCCUUGAAUUCAUAUUUUUCAUUGCCAUUAGUCUUUAAGCUAAACCUGUGGAGUGGGAGAUCUUCUAAAAAGGUGAUGCAGGAGUGAGAGGCUUUGACAUUUUUGUUGUUGGACCGUUGACUCUGUUGAUGUUUAUUAUAUUCUUCUUGUCUUGUCUAUUGGAUCGUAGAGCCAAUAGCUUAGAUUACUUUGUGUGUUUUGAUGUUUCUAUUUACUUUGUGUUUUGAGUUAGAAUUGUUGUCUUUCUUAUUGGUUGUUGGAAGGUACAUGUGUCAGCCAUUGUGUUUGUCUAAGCAAGAGCAAUAUUUGCAAAUGGUGGGUGGUGGGCAGGUUCUGGAAGCAUUAGAUCCGGUGAAAUCUUUGAUUUUAUUAUCUUUGCACUCAUAUUUUUCAUUGCCAUUAUUCUUCAAGCUAAACUUCUGGACGGGGAGAUCUUCUAAAUAAGCGAUAUAGGAGUGAGAGGCUGACUUUUGUGUUGUUGGACUGUUGACUCUGUUGAUUUACAGUAAAGAUGCCUAUUGGAUGGUAUUGGGUCGUAGAGCCAAUAACGGUAUAUUAUUUAACUUACUACAGAGCUUGAUGUUUUAUUAUGUUUCCAUUUACUUUAUGUGCUUAAGUUGGAAUUGUUGAUGCCUCUCUUAUUGGUUGUAGAAAGGUACAUGUGUCAGCCAUUGUGUUUGUCUAAGCAAGAGCAUCUCAUGGAAAUUUUACCAUUGGUUUUUAAUUAUUGUAUUUAUUUAUUCAUCUUAUCAUCUAGGUCCUUCAUCUUCUAACCCAAAUUGAUUAUUGUUUUCUUCAAUUGAUGGGUUUUCCACGGAAACUAAGAAAUGAAAUGUGUGCAUGAUGUGCAAAUCGUAGGUGGUGGGCAGGUUUUGGAAACGGUGGAUAGAGAUCCGGUGAAUCAUAGGUUUUAUUAUUUUUGAAUUCUUUAAGUUCAUUGUCGCUAUACUUUAAACUAAACUUGUUGAGUGGGUUUCUUAAUUGUAGAUACUUUAUGAGUUGCCGGCUUUGAUAUUUGUGUUGUUGGACCGUUGGCUGUUGAUUUUGAUUAUCUUCUUCUAGUCAUUUUUCUGUUAAGAGGAUAUUGGAUCGAUGCUGUAUGUUUUAUUACGUUCUCAUAUACUAUUUUUCUUGUCUGUUCAAGUUAGAUUGGCUUUAGUCUCUUGUUGGUUGUAGGUAGGUACAUGUUUCGGCCAUGGUGUUUGUCUAUGCAAGAGCAAUAAUUGAUCACUGGAACAUUACGAUGAUCGAGCUUGUUUUGGAAAUUUCUCGAUUGCUUUUAAUUAUUGUAUUUGUUUAUUUAUCUUAUGAUCUAGGUCCUUUAUCUUCUACCCACAUUAAUUAUAGUUAAUGGAUGGGCAACUUCGGAAUUAGUGGAUGGUCACAAUGGAAGGAGCUCGGUGAAACCCUUUGUUUUAUUAUCUUUGCAUUCAUUAUUUUCAUUUGCGUUACUUUCAAACUAAAUUUGUGGAAUGGGAGAUCCUAAGUAGGCACUCUAUAAGUGAGAGGUUUUGACAUUUGGGUUGUUGGACAGUUUACUUUGUUGAUUUUGAUUGUCUUUUUCUACUCUUCUUGCAGUGAAGGGGAUUCAUUUCUAUUGGAUCGUGCAUGCAGUAGGUGUAGAUUAUUUAACUUACUGCAAAGUUUUGUUUUAUUACAUUCUCAUUUACUAUUUUUCUAGUCUGCUCAAGUGGCUUUAAUCUCUCUUAUUCGUUGUAGGAAGGUACAUGUUCACUGGACAAUUAUGGUCAGAGAAUCUGUAAUGGAAAUUUCUUCAUUGCUUUUUUAAUUCCUGAAUUAUUUUAUUCAUGUUAUCAUCUAGGUCCUUCAUCUUCUACCCAAAUUAAUUAUAGUUUUAUUGAAUACGUUGGCUGUACAUGAAAAUGUAUUGGUUGUAGGAGGUACUUGUGUCAGCCAUGGUGUUUGUCUAAGCAUAAGUGAUACUUGAUUGCAUGAUCGAGCCUACUAUCAAAGUUUCUCAUUGUUAGAGAACUAACUGAGACAUUUUAUUCAUUCAUAUAUUCCUAACAAGGUUUUGGUAUUCUAUAUAUAUAGAAUACCAUGAAAGAAUACAACCCACCUCUUAAGUAUGGUACACACUCACAAAACAACAUAAACUUAAUACAUUUCAACACUCCCCCUCAAGUUGGAGCAUAUAAAUCAUAUGCACCAAGCUUGGAACAUAUAAACUGAAUCCUAGGCCCUCUUAAAGACUUAGGCAAAAUAUCUGCAAAUUGUUCAUUAGAAUUGACAUUCUGUAAUGAGAUCCUUGGACAGCAACUUCUCUCUGAUGAAAUGACAAUCAAUUUCUGUAUGUUUUGUUAUCACAUGAAACACUGGAUUGGAGGCAAUGUGAAGAGCUGCUUGGUUAUCACAAUACAACUUUAUAGGCUUAUUUUCACAGAAUUUUAAUUCUUGAAGGAGUUGUUUGAUCCAUAUAAGUUCACAUGUAGCUAUGGCCAUAGAUCGGUAUUCAGCUUCUGCACUAGAUCGAGCAACAACACUUUGUUUCUUGCUUUUCCAUGAUACAAGGUUACCUCCAAGGAGUACACAAUAUCCUGUGGUAGAUCUUCGAUCAUUCGGACAACCAACCCAAUUUGCAUCACAAUAUCCUUCUAACUCAAAUCAGUUAUAUAGACAUACAACCGUCCAUGUCCUGGAUUCCCUUUUACAUAUCUAAGGAUGCGUACCAUGACAUUCCAAUCAAUAUGAGGAUUUUGUAUAAAUUGGCUCACAACUCCCACUGGACAAGAAAGAUCAGGUCUUGUUAUGGUGAGAUAGAUUAGUUUUCCAACCAACCUUCUGUAUCUUUCUGGAUCUGAGAAAGGUUCACCAUGGUCUCAUUAAUUUUUUAUUUGAGUCCAUAGGACUAUCAAUGGGCUUGCAAUCUGUCGGACCUGUUUCCUCCAAAAUAUCAAGGGCAUAUUUUCUUUGUGAAAUGAUGACUCCUUCUUUUGAUUGUGCCACUUCAAUACCAAGGAAGUAUUUCAAACGACCUAAGUCUUUCGUUUGAAAGUGGUUGAACAAAUGAUCCUUUAAUUGAGCAAUUCUCGCAACAUCAUUUCCUGUAAUCACAAUAUUAUCAACAUAAACCAUAAGUAGAAUGCCCAUAAAACACUGAAUGAUCUGCUUCACAUUGUUUCAAUCCAAAUUGUUGCACAACAUGGCUAAAUUUACCAAACCAAGCUCGAGGUGAUUGUUUCAAGCCGUAGAGUGAAUGACAUAAUUUACAAACUAACUUAGACUCCCUUUGAGCAACAUGACUAAAUCUAGAAGGUUGCUCCAUGUAUAUCUCCUCUUCUAGAUCACCAUGAAGAAAGACAUUCUUAAUGUCCAAUUGGUGAAGUGGCCACUGUCUAAUGGCAGCCAUGACAAGAAAUAGACGAACACUAGUGAUUUUACUGAUUUUGGCCACAAGAGAAAAAGUAUCACAAUAGUUGAGAUAAUAAACCUGAGUAUAUCCCUUUGCGACUAGACGAGCUUUAAGACGAUCAAUGGCACCAGUAGGACCAACUUUAAUAGCAUAUACCCAUCUGCAUUCCACGGGUUUCUUAUUAGGAGGAAGAGGUAUAAGUUCCCAAGUGCCACUAUUGUCAAGUGCCUGCAUUUCAUCAAUCAUGGCUUGUCACCAUCCAGGGUAAUCAAGUGCCUCACGAACAUUAUUAGGAACUUUAAUGUUAGAAAGGGAGGAAACAAAGGAGAAAUAUGUAGGAGACAGACGAUGAUAACUUAAAAAAUUAUAAACAGGAUAAGGAUUACGAGUAGAUCAAAUACCUUUUCGAAGAGCAAUAGGCCAAGCAUGAUUUAAGUCAAGAGAGGACGAGGAGGAUGGAGGAUCCAUGGUCUAGGAAUCUGAUGGAGAAGGAACUGAGUCUCGAGGAUCUUCAGGCAAGGAGGAAGGUGGUUGAACAAUAUUUUGUGCAUUCUAAGUUUGAGCUGAAGAUGGUGAAGAUGGAGAAGCGGGAAUAACCAAGGGAUCACAUGAUGGUAUAGGAAGCAUCUCUUCAACAGAUGAACGAUCCUCCUUGGAAGACAAGAAGAAGGGUGUAUCCUCAAAAAAGGUGACAUCAGAAGACAUAUAAUACCUUCCUGUGGAGGGAGAAUAACAUCUAUAUCCUUUUUGAAUGCGACAAUAUCCCAAAAAGACACAUUUAAUAGACUUGGGAGAAAGUUUAUCAAGACCUGGGGAGACAUUACGAACAAAACAAGUGCUCCCAAAAACACGUGGAGGGACAUGGUAAAUAGGAUCAUUUGGAAAAAUUACUAAGUGAGGAACUUUAUUGUCAAGAGAUGAAGAAGGCAUCCUAUUGAUCAAAAAACAAAAACACGUGGAGAGACAUGGUAAAGAGGAUCAUUUGGAAAAAUUACAGAGUGAGGAACUUUAUUGUCAAGAGAUGAAGAAGGCAUCCUAUUGAUCAAAAAACAAGAAGUGAGGAUUGCAUCCCCCAAUGAUGAAUAGGAACAUUAAUAUUUAACAUUAGGGAACGUGUUGUUUCAAUAAGAUGUCUAUUCUUUCUCUCAGCUAUGCCAUUUUGUUGUGGAGUGUGAGGACAUGUUGACUGAUGUAAAAUUUCUUUGGAAGAUAAAAAUGAAGAAAAUGCAGUAAAAAAAUAUUCCUUAGCAUUAUCACUUCUGAGAAUUUUAAUUGUCUUUCCAAAUUGAUUCUUAAUUUCAUUAACAAAGGACAUAAAAAUGACUAAAAGUUCAAAUCUCUCUUUCAUAAGAUAAACCCACGUACACCGAGAAAAUUCAUCAAUGAAGGUUACAAAAUAGUUAAAACCAAAGGAAGUAACUCGACUCGGUCCCUAAAUAUUAAAGUGAAUGGUAGAAAAAAUAGACUUACAUCGUGUUUGAGAUUUCUUUGGAUAAGAAGAUCUAACAUGUUUUCCUAACUGACAAGACUCACAAUCACAGGAAUGUGUUUAAGAUUUGGAACCAUCAACUUCAGCUUAGACAAAUUUGGGUGACUCAAACGAUCAUGUAAAAUUUUAGGAGAUGAAGUUGGAAUGCAAGAAACAAAAGAGUUAGGUUUUAGGAAAUACAGUCCUCUUGACUCAUAUCCUUCUCCUAUUUGAUGACCCGUACCAUGUUCCUGUAUGACAAAGGAAGUAGCAAUAAAGGUUAUAGAACAAUUUAAUGAACGUGUCAAUUGACUCAAGGAAAUUAAAUUAUAAAGACAAUGAGAAAUAUACAAAACAGAAUUUAAGUUUAAUGAAAGAGAUAAGGACACUUUGCCGAUUCCUUGAGAUGUCAAUUUGGAUCCAUUAGCAACAGUAACUAAUUGAGGAACUUUUUGAGGGGUAAUGGAGGAAAAUAAACGAGUGUUACCAGACAAAUGGUUUGAGGCACCUGAAUCAAGAAUCCAUGAACCUUGACAUUUCACAAAUUGUGCGAUGCAUGCAGUUGACACACUUGGCACUGAAGGAAACUGACAAAGGCCAGUGGAUUUGUCAGACUUGUAUCUCAAAAAUUCUUGAUACUCUUCAUUUAAGAUUCUUGAUUCGUAUGAGCAUUGCACAUACCCACUUCGACUACCAUGGCCUCCUCGAUUAGCUCCUCUCCUUGAAGUGGCAGAUAAGGAGAAAUUAAUUUUAGUAAAGGAUGUCAUUCUAAAUCUGUGAGAAGAAUCAAAACUUAGGAUCCAAAACAGAGACAAGGUCUUACGACUAUGGGAAAUCAGAAUCCCUAUCCAACCAUACUAAGAAAUGAAACUCAUCAACAGUAGACUGUGAAAUCUGUUAUUAAUGAGGAAGAAGGCUCAAUAUGGAAAACUGAAUCUGGUUCCACAAGUAAUGAAGCGUAACAGCAUUGAGGGAGAAACUUAGCUUGAGGGAGAAAACCCUAGGUGCAAACAACAGCCACCAAAACAACGAAGCAAGGGCCAAAACAUGCUUAGGAAGCUCCGGCGAAAUUGUCUGCAGUGACGCGGUGUCGAUUUGACACCGAGAAGGCGGCGCGUGAGGAACACGUGCCGGAGACUUGCUAGAGAGAAGCGGCGCGUGGAGGAGCGUGCGGAGGUUUCUGAGGAAGCGACCACCAUGGUUGGGUCGCGCUUCUCGGGGCGAACCUAACCCUUAACUUUGCCUGACAAACGGCGACGGAGGACGGCGGUGGCGAUAGUAGCGACGGCGGCGGAAAGUGACGACGACAGCAGUGGCACAUUGGGUCUGGCUGUUGAUACCAUGUCAGAGAACUAACUGAGACAUUUUAUUCAUUCAUAUAUUCCUAACAAGGUUUUGGUAUUUUAUAUAUAUAGAAUACCAUGAUAGAAUACAACCCACCUCUUAAGUUGGGUACACACUCACAAAACAAUAUAAACUUAAUACAUUUCAACACUCAUUUAGUAUUUUGGUUCCUGAAUUUGUUUAUUCAUCUUAUGGUCUUGGGUCUUCUAUCAUCUACAAAAUUUUCUUGAAUGGAUGGGGUUUUGGUCCUUCAUCUUCUACUCAAAUUGAUUAUUGUUUUCUUGAAUUGAUGGGCUUUACACGGAAACUUAGAAAUGAAAUGUGUGCAGGGUGUGCAAAUGGUGGAUAGAAAUCUGGUGAACCUUAAGUUUUAUUAUUUUUGAAUUCAUUAUUUUCAUUGCCGUUAUUCUUCAAACUAAACUUGUGGAGUGGUAGAUCUUGAAAGUACACACUCUAUGAGUGGCAGACUUGUUGGAACAUUGGCUGUUGAUUUUGAUUAAUGUUCUUCUACUCAUGUUGCAAUGAAGAGGGUGUCUAUUGGAUCGUGGAUGCAGUAGGUUAUUGAACUUACUACAGUGCUUUAUGUUUCCUGUCAUUCUUAUGUACUAUUUUUCUUGUCUGCUCGAAUUGGAAUGACUUCAGUCUCUCUUAUUGGUUGUAGGUAGGUAUUUGGUUUACAUGUUUCGGCCACGCUGUUUGUCUAUGCUAGAGCAAUGAUUGAUAGCUGUUAUGUUGAUUGAGCCGGUUUUGAAAAUUUCUCCACUGCAUUUUUAAUUUUGUAUUUGUCUAUUUAUCUUAUUGUCUAGGGCCUUCAUAUUCUAUCCAGAUUAAUUAUAGUUUUGUUGAAUCGAUGGGAAAUGAAGUGGGUGCAGGGUGUGCAAAUGGUGGGUGGUUGGCUGAACAGUGGAUGGAGUUCCGGUGUGAAGGCCUUUAUUCUACUAUAUUUGCAUUCAUUAUUUUCAUUUCCGUUAUUGUUCAAACUAAGCUUGUGGAAUGGGAGAUGCUUGAAGUAAAUGAAGUGAGUUUGAGGCUUUGACAUUUAGGUCUAACUUUUGGAGUGGGAGAUCAUUAAAGUAGGCAGUCUAUGAGUGAGAGGCUUUGACUUUUGGGUCUAACUUUUGGAGUGAGAGAUCAUGAAAGUAGGCACUUUAUGAGUGAGAGGCUUUGGCAUUUGGGUUGUUGGACUGUUGACCGUUGAUUUUGAUCAUCUUCUCCUACUCCUUUUGCAUUGAAGAGUUAUUUACUAGUUUUCUUGUCUGCUCUAGUUGCUUUAGUCUCUCUUAUUGAUUGUAGGAUGGUACAUGAUUUGGCCAUGGUCUUUGUUUAAACAAGAGCAAUACUUGAUCACUGGGCAUUAUGUUCAAGGAUCCUGUUAUGGAAAUUUUUCCGUUGGUUUUUCAAGUCCCGGAUCUCUUUAUUCAUCUUAUCUUCUAGGUCCUUCAUCUUUUCCAGAUUAAUUAUAGCAAUACUUUAUUGCUGAACAUCAUGAAGAUCGAGCCUGCUAUGGAAGUUUCUCAAUUAGUUUUUUGGUUCCUGAAUUUGUUUAUUCAUCUUAUGGUCUUGGUCCUUCAUCUUCUAUCCAAAAUGAUUAUUGUUUUCUUUAAUGGAUGGGGUCUUGUUCCUUCAUCUUGUACCCAUAUUGAUUAUAAUUUUCUUGAGUUGAUGGGUUUAUAGAGAAACGAAGAAAGGGUGAGGAAAUGGUGUGGUGGCCAAGUUUAGGUAACAGUGGAUGGAGAUAUGUUAAACGUCAGGUUUUAUUAUAUUUGAAUUUGUUAUCUUUGAACUCAUUAUUUUCACUGGCUUUCAUUGACGUUAUUCGUCAGAUUAAACUUGUGGAAUGGGAGAUCUUGUAAAUAGGCACUGUAUGAGUGAGAGGCUUUGACAUUUGUGUUGUGACAGUUGGCUGUUGAUUUUGGCUAAUGGAUCUGGAUGCAGUGGGUUUAGAUAUUUAACUUACUAUAAAGCUUCGUGUUUUAUUAUGUUCUCAUUUACUAUUUUUUUGUCUGCUUGAGUUGGAAGGGCUUUAGUCUCUUGUAUUGGUUGUAGAAAGUUACAUGUUCCGGCCAUGGUGCAAGAUCAAUAAUGCUGAACAUUAUGAUCAUCGAGCCUGUUUUGGAAAUUUCUCCUCUGGAAUUCUAACUCCUGACUUUGUGUUUUUAUCUUAUUGAUUAGCUCCUUUAUCUUCUACCCAGAUUAAUUAUAUUUUUCUUGUAUGCAAGCCCUUUCCAGGGAAACUAAAAUGAAGUUGGUGCGGGGUGUGCAAAUGGUGGUUGGUGGGAAGGUUUGAGAAGCAGUGAAACCUUAGGUUCUUUGUCUUGGCAUUUUUUAUUUUCUUCGCAAUUAUUUUUCUGGCUAAACAUUUGGAGUGGGAGUUCUUGUAAACAGGCACUAUAUGAGUAUGAGAGGCUUUGGCAUUUGCAGUGAAAACUUGCUUGCUAUGGAUGUUUGUUGUUUGUGGAGGAAAUGGCGGUAGAUUAUUAUUUGGAAUGGUUGUAGUCACUGUCGUUUUAUUAUGUUUCCAUUCACUAUCAUUCUUAUGUGGUUGAUUUGAAACGGCCUAGUGUCUCGUAUUAGUAGUAGAAGGUACAUGUAUCAUUCGGUGUUUGUCCAUGCAAGAGCAAUACUUGAUCAUUGAAGGUUAUUUUCGAGCCUGUUAUGGUGUAGGUGUGCAAUCUGUGCAUUGUGACGCUGAAGGUUUCAUUUACCGGUACAAAGCAGUGUUUUCUGGAUUAAUUUUUAACUGGCUAAACUUGUUUGUUUGAUUCUGAUCUUGGUUUUAACUGUCACUACGAGAGUACUGUUACAAACUGACAUUUUUGAUGGAUAUGUCUGUUUCUUUUGUGUUAUAGGUUUGUAAAAUAAAUUAUGGGAUGAGCAUGGUUGACAAGUUCUGUUGGGCUUUACACUUUGAUUUGAUGGUUUGCUCAAAUCCUUUCCAUUCAUUAUUUUUCAUUUUUCUUUGAUUUGGUUAGGAAUUGAUGUAUUUCUAAGCAUGCCCGGUACUGGCGUUUUGGAGAAGAAUUUGUUAAUUUCAGGGUACUGCUCUUCAUAUGGUAUAAAGAAUUUGAAAUUGUAUAAUUGGAGGCAAUGGCAGUAGAUGUAUGUUUGGAAUGGCUGUAAUCUCUCUCAUUGGUUGAACGUGAUUGUGUAUUUGAAAUGGUUGUACUCUCAUUUUAUUGCGUUUCCAUUCACUAUAAUAUUAUUUAUUUAUCACUAUAUGUAUUUCUAAGCAAGAUGAUACUGGAGUUUUAGGGAAGAAUUUGGUAAUUUCAGGAUGCGGUUCUUGAAAUGGUAUAAUUGAACUAUUUGCAUGAAUCCCUUUUGAGCACAAGCGAGGGACUUAUAAUCAUUGAAGAGUUUAGAAGGGCUUAUGAUAGCAUGUGAUGACUGAUCUUAACUAAUUAUUCCUAGCAAAUCCCUUUUGAGCACACGCGAGGUAGUUGUAAUCAUGGAAGAGUUUAGAAGGGCUUAUGAUAGCAUGCGAUGGACCGAUCUUAACUUAUUUAGGCCUACCUUGGUUUUAUGAGAUCAUCUUGGGCUUUGCAGUAUUUGAUUUCUUAUUGUUUCUGUACCAGGAAUUGAUUCAAUUUUACGGCUUUAGUUUCUGGUGUUGAAACUCUGACGUAUCCAGCUUUAACUUGAUAUCAUUUGUUAACAACAUUUCUUUUGGAGUGGGGUUUGUUUAAGCCUACUAUGGGCAUGAAGCUGGCAGUUCAACUUGAAACAGAAGCAGCUAAUGAAAACCUAAUUUCUUCUGUGUGGUUCCACUUCAUACUUAGCUGUCAUUUGGAGUAUGUACAUCGUGUUGUUAUACGCUUGCUAUAGAGUAGCUAUCUUUUUCCCUCUUUGUUGUUUUGACUACUUAGGUCAGAGUCUUUGGAGGUAUUUUGGAUUAGGAUAUGUCCCAAGUAUCAACAGUCUAUUUCCAAUUUUGACAUAUGGAUGUGAUUGUCAGAUAUUUUCUAGGAAUAUAUUCAGUUUUAUUCUUGUAUUGAAUUAGAUAUUUGUUAACAUGGUCCUUUAAUUCUUAUAUAAUUAUUAUGAAUGAUCAUUGCUUUAGUAGUUAUUCUGUUUGAAAUUCAUAGUUAUUUAAAAGAAAAUGUUGUAUUUUCCUUUCUACAUUUUGUUCUUUGCUAUGGACUCUGAUCAGUAGAUUGAGAUUAUGUUAUAUAAAAUAUCAUUUUAUAGUACUCAGUAAAAUGAGAUUUAUUUUUUCGUGUGAUUUUUUGUAAUAGAAACAGUUUACUGGAUUCUUUUCUGUUUUGUAAAUAUUUUUUUUUAAGAUCUUUAGUCUAUUAGUUAUAAAUUUUUAAACCAUUUUAUGCAUGUACCUUUAUUAGAUAUAUAGUCCUAAAUUGUCCUGUUUACAUUCCAGAUUAGAGAAAUUAAAAACAAGUACACUUGUUAUAUAUUACAAAAUUAUUAUACGAUUUGUCCAAACUACAUUUAGAUUCAAAAACAAAAUUGAAUUCAUACUCUUGUUUUAUAUUCUUAUAUUGCGUUAAUAUUUUGAAAUAGAAAAGUAAUUGUAAAAGCAUUGCUACAUCCUUAAUUAUACAUAGGUAGUCAGUCUGCUCCAUCUGAGGUAGCUCUUAGCAAUAGCCCUUUAUUGAAUAUUUUCUUAGUAAUAGUUCUUAGUAUUGUUUUACCUUUCUUUUGACUUUUACUACUGUAAACACUAACAAUAUCUAGUUAUAUGUUGUUUUCUUUUGAUAAAUAAUCUUCAUUACUAUCAAUAAGAUUUAAUUUGAUCCAAGUCUAAUAUGACUUAACCCGUAUGAUUUUAAAUCAGACUAGAUGUUUUGGUCACUGUCUAUGAAGACUUUUUCGCCCAUCAUUCAUGUGAGGCAUAGAGAAAGUUUAUAUUUCUAUUUAGAACUUUCUCCAUAAUAUUUUUUAUAAGCUUGGCAUACAAUAUUUUUCUGUUUCAACUUAUGAAGAUUUGAUAUUUGUUUACAGAAUUUUUAUAUAAUAAUCAUAUUUCAUCACAAAAAUUACUAUCCUACCACUUCAUAUAUUCUCAUACAUUUAAUAAAGUUUUUAUGAUAAUCUUUAAUAAGUUUUCGUUCAAAUACAUUCCUUCAGCGAAUCAUUCUUAAAGGAGGUCUACUAGAUAGAAAUAAGGUGUGUUUUUUGAAAAUAAAUAAAAUUUUAUUAAAUAAUUUUUUUUAAUAUAAUUUAUUUAAAUAUAAUUUUAUCCUUUAACUAUUUUCUAGUCGUUAGAAUAAGUUAAUUCUAAUGUUUUAUUAAAUUAAUAAAAUUAUAUAUAAAAACAAUAUAUAUAUUAUUUAUUUAAAUUUUAUAUAUAAUCUCAUCAACAAUUUAUUUUAUUGCAACUGAUUCACAUGAUCUAUAUAAUAAUAAUAAAAGUUGUGAAAACAUGUAAUUAUGUUUAAAAUUUGAUACACAAUAAUUAAUAAUAUAAAAAAGAUUAGUUAAAGUUGCUGACAAAUGAGUCACAUAUCCCAUGAAUAAAACCAAUUAGCACAUAUUAAUCUGAUUCAAUUUGGAUUAAAAGUUAAACAAAUUUAAUAAAAUGGGUUUGAAUUUUGAAACUGAGAAGUUACAUUCUAUUAACUUAAAGACAAAGAAAUGUAAUAAAUUAUUUAUUACAUUGCAUACUUUCCCGCCAAAUGAGUUGGCGCCCAAAACCUUCUCCUAUAUAUAGAAACGGUAAACAGUGAAGGGAAGAAACACAACAGAGUGAUUUGAAAACUAAAUCCCUAACUUUCUCUCUCUUCAAUGGCGCCACAGAAACUCAACGACUACGACUCAAGCGACUCGAGAUGACGGCAGCCCUCAAACUCCAUUCCAAAGUCACCCAACUCUCCAAUUUCACUCCUUUGCUUGAGUUUAAAUUGUCUAAGCAAUAGCCUCUCAUGGAAAUUUUUCCAUUGGUUUUUAAUUAUUUUAUUUGUUUAUUCAUCCUAUCAUCUAGGUCCUUCAUUUUCUAACCCGGAUUGAUUAUAGUUUUCUUGAAAAUAUGGGCUUUAUAGUUUUCUUGAAUUUAUGGGCUUUAUACGGAAACUAAGAAAUGAGGUGGGUGGAGGGAGUGCAAAUGGUGGGUGGUUGGCAGGUUUGGUAACUGUGGAUGGAUUUCCGGUGAAACCCUUUGUUUAUUAUAUUUGCAUUCACUAUUUGUCAUUGCCGUUACUUUUCAAACUAAACUUGUGGAAUGGAAGAUCUUGAAAGUAGGCACUCUAUAAGUGAGAGGCUGACAUUUGGGUUGUUGGACCGUUGACUGUCGUUUUCCUCUUGCAGUGAAGAGAUGUCUAUUGGAUCAUGGAUGCAGUGUGUGUAGAUUAUUUAACUUGCUUCAUUUAUGUUUUAUUACGUUCUCAUUUACUAUUUUGUUGUCUGUUUGAGUGGCUGUAGUCUCUCUUAUUGGCUGUAGGAAGGCCAUGGUGUUUCUUUAAACAGGAGCAAUACUUGAUCACUGGACAUUAUGGUCAACGAGUAUGUUAUGGAAAUCCCUCCAUUGUUUUUUUAGUUCUUGAAAUUGUUUAUCAUCUUAUCAUCUAGGUCCUUCAUCUUCUACCCAAAUUAAUAUAGUUUUCUUGAAUACAUGGGCUUUAAAGGGAAACUUACUGGUUGUAGGAAGGUACAUGUAUCGACCAUGGUGUUUGUCUAAGCAUGAGCAAUACUUGAUUGCUGAACAUUAUGAUGAUCAAGCCUGCUAUGGAAGUUUCUCAAUUAGUUUUUUGGUUCCUGAAUUUGUUGACUCAUCUUAUGGUGUCGGUCCAUCUUCUGCCGAAAUUGAUUAUUGUUUUCUUGAAUUGAUGGGCUUUACAGGGAAACUAAGAAUAGAAAUGUGUGCAUGAUGUGCAAAUGGUAGGUGGUGGGCAGGUUUUGGUAACAGUGGAUGGAGAUCCGGUGAACUAAAGGUGUUAUUAUUUUUGAAUUCAUUAUGUUCAUUGCCGUUAUUCUUCAAACUAAACUCGUGGAGUGGGAAAUCUUGGAUGUAGAUACUUUAUAAGUGACAGGCUUUGAGAUUUGUGUUGUUGGACCGUUGGCUGUUGAUUUUGAUUAUCUUCUUCUACUCACUUUGCAGUUAAGAGGAUAUUGGAUCGAUGGAGUAGCUGUAGAUUAUUUUACUUACUAAAAAAGCUUUAUGUUUCAUUACGUUCUCAUGUACUAUUUUUCUUGUCUGUUGAAGUUGGAUUGGCUUUAGUCUUUCUUGUUGGUUGUAGGGAGGUAUAUGUUUCCACCAUGGUGUUUGUCUAUGCAAGAGCAAUAAUUGAUCGCUGUAACAUUAUGAUGAUCGAGUUUGUUUUGGAAAUUUCUCCAUUCAUUUUUUAAUUAUUGUAUUUGUUUAUUUAUCUUACCGUCUAGGUCCUUCAUCUUCUACCAGAUUAAUUAUAGUUAAUCGAUGGGCUUUACCAAGAAAACUAAGAAAUGAAGUGGGAGCAGGGUAUGCAAAUGGUGGGUGGUGGGCAACUUCGGAAAAAGUAUAUGGUAACAAUGGAAGGAGCUCGGUGAUACGCUUAGUUUUAUUAUCUUUGCAUUCAUUAUUUUCGUUGGUGUUAUUUUUCAAACUAAACUUGUCGAAUGGGAGAUCUUGAAAGUAGACACUCUAUAAGUGAGAGUCUGUGACAUUUGGGUUGUUGGACAGUUGACUCUGUUGAUUUUGAUUAUCUUCUUCUACUCUUGCAGUGAAGAGGAUGUCUAUUGGAUCCUGCAUGCAGUAGGUGUAGAUUAUUUAACAUACUGCAACGCUUUAUGUUUUAUUACAUUCUCAUUUACUAUUUUUCUACUCUUCUCAAGUGGCUUUAGUCUCUCUUAUUGGUUGUAGGAACGUACAUGUUCACUGGACAUUUGUGUUGUGACAGUUGGCUGUUGAUUUUGACUAUGUUCUUCCACUCAUGUUGCAGUGAAGAAGAUUGGAUCUGGAUGCAGUAGGUUUAGAUUAUUUAACUUACUACAAAGCUUCAUGUUUCAUUAUGUUCUCAUUUACUAUUUUUUGUUCUCAUUGAGUUGAAAGGGCUUUAGUCUUUUUUAUUGGUUGUAGGAAGGUACAUGUUCUGGCCAUGGUGCAAGAUCAAUAAUGCUGAAUAUUAUGAUCAUCGAUCCUGUUUUGGAAAUUUCUCCUUUGGAAUUUUAAUUCCUGAAUUUGUGUUUUGAUCUUAUGGAUUAUUUCCUUUAUCUUCUACCCAGAUUAAUUAUAUAUUUUUUGUAUGCAAGGGCUUUACAGGGAAACUAAAAUGAUGUUGGUGAAGGGUAUGCAAAUGGUGGGUGGUGGGUGGAGGGUAUGCAAAGGCACUACAUGAGUAUGAGAGGCUUUGGCAUUUGCAGUGAAAACUUGCUUGCUAUGGAUAUCUGUUGUUUGUGAAGGAAAGGCGGUAGAUUACUUUUUGGAAUGGUUGUAGUCUCUCUCGUUUUAUUAUGUUUCCAUUCACUAUCAUUCUUAUGUGGUUGAUUUGGAACAGCCUAGUGUCUCGUAUUAGUAGUAUAAGGUACAUGUAUCAUUCGGUGUUUGUCCAUGUAAGAGCAAUACUUGAUCAUCGAAGAUUAUGAUCUUCGAGCCUGUUAUAGUGUAGGUGUGCAAUUUGUGCAUUUGACGCUGAAGGUUUUAUUUACUGGUACAGAGCAGCAUUUUCUGGAUUAAUUUUUAACUGGCUAAACUUGUUUGUUUGAUUCUGAUCUUGGUUAACUGUCCCUGCGAGAGUACUGUUACAAACUGACAUUUGAGGUGGAUAUGUCUGUUUCUUUUUUAUGUGUUGUAGGUUUAUAAAAGAAAUUGUAGGGUGAGCAUGGUUGACAAGUUCUGUUGGGCUUUGCUCUUUGAUUUGAUGUCACUCUCACAGACUACUAUCAUUGAUGUAAGAAUAGAUCAAACAGCGAGUGAGUGGAAGUCGGUGGGGAGAUGCUAGUGAUGGUUUCACAAUUGAUAAGGCAAGAUCAGCCACUUCCAUCUUGAUGGUUCUAUUGUUCUCUCUCAUUGCUGGAAGACUAAACAUAGAGAAAUGGUAAGCGAGUAAAGGAAAAAUCCAAGGUGCGUAGCAUAAUUAACUAACCAUAAUUUACGUUCAAAUCCAUAAAUACCCUUCUUUAUUUUUAUCUUUCCCUCACAAUUUAUCUCCGGUUACUCUUCUUUCACAGAUCUAAUUUAUUUUUCUGUUCUCCUCGACCCCUUUCCUAAUUUAUUUAUUUUAUUUUAUGCAUUUUCUUGCAAAUCUUGAGUUUAUUAGUUUAGGUUAUUGCAGUUUAGACUUCUAAUUUAUUUUCUUGAACUUCUAUUUCAUUCUAUUACGUGUCUAAACUUCUUGCAAUUUAGAAAUUCUACUGGAUUUGGCUGCAGGUGCGGUGAGAAGCAAUAAAUAAAAAGGAAACAAAAGAUUGGGUUACAGAGAAGAACCAUUGUGUUGAAAAGAAUACAUCAGGAAUGAGAAGUGGAAUAAACAUUUAUGUUCUUCAGGCAAGU